AUUUUCCCAGUCCACGACGUUGUAAAACGACGGCCAGUGAAUUCGAGCUCGGUACCUCGCGAAUGCAUCUAGAUUCCUACGGGAGGCAGCAGUGGGGAAUAUUACACAAUGGGCGCAAGCCUGAUGCAGCCAUGCCGCGUGUAUGAAGAAGGCCUUCGGGUUGUAAAGUACUUUCAGCGGGGAGGAAGGGAGUAAAGUUAAUACCUUUGCUCAUUGACGUUACCCGCAGAAGAAGCACCGGCUAACUCCGUGCCAGCAGCCGCGGUAAUACGGAGGGUGCAAGCGUUAAUCGGAAUUACUGGGCGUAAAGCGCACGCAGGCGGUUUGUUAAGUCAGAUGUGAAAUCCCCGGGCUCAACCUGGGAACUGCAUCUGAUACUGGCAAGCUUGAGUCUCGUAGAGGGGGGUAGAAUUCCAGGUGUAGCGGUGAAAUGCGUAGAGAUCUGGAGGAAUACCGGUGGCGAAGGCGGCCCCCUGGACGAAGACUGACGCUCAGGUGCGAAAGCGUGGGGAGCAAACAGGAUUAGAUAACCCUGGUAGUCCACGCCGUAAACGAUGUCGWCUUGGAGGUUGUGCCCUUGAGGCGUGGCUUCCGGAGCUMAACGCGUUAAGUUCGWACNCGACGCUGGGGAGUACGGCC
rnacentral:rRNA from 1 species